UGCUAGGGACUUUGCAGGAUCCUGACAAGAUCCCGCUAGGAACAUUGUAGGAUCCUGAUAGGAUUCUGCUAGGAACUUGCAGGAUCCUGACAAGAUCCUGCUAGGAACUUUGUAGGAUCCUGAAUAGGAUCCUGUAGGAUCCUGAAUAGGAUCCUGUAGGAUCCUGAAUGUGAUCCUGUAGGAUCCUGUAGGAUCCUGUAGGAUCCUGAAUAGGAUCCUGUAGGAUCCUGAA